rnacentral:rRNA from 1 species
AGGCGCGAAAACUUUACAAUGCGGGAAACCGCGAUAAGGGAACCCCGAGUGCCAGCACCAAGUAUUGGCUGUCCAGAUGAUUAAAACUCAUUUGUUAGCAAGGGCCGGGCAAGACCGGUGCCAGCCGCCGCGGUAACACCGGCGGCCCGAGUGGUAACCGUUUUUAUUGGGUCUAAAGGGUCCGUAGCCGGCCUGAUAAGUCUCUUGGGAAAUCUGGCAGCUUAACUGUCAGGGUUCUAAGAGAUACUGUCAGGCUUGGGACCGGAAGAGGUAAGGGGUACUCCAGGGGUAGGAGUGAAAUUUUGUAAUCCUUGGGGGACCAUCUGUGGUGAAGGCGCCUUACCAGGACGGGUCUGACGGUGAGGGAUGAAAGAUAGGGGAGCAAACCGGAUUAGAUACCCGGGUAGUCCUAUCCGUAAACGAUGCUCCAUAGCUGUCAGGCUCGGUGCGUCCGUGUUCGGUUCAGCAGGGAAGCCGUGAAGCGAGCCACCUGGGAAGUACGGUGGCAAGGCUGAAACUUAAAGGAAUUGGCGGGGGAGCACUACAACGGGUGGAGCGUGCGGUUUAAUUGGUUUCAACGCCGGAAAACUCACCGGGUGCGACAGCAAUAUGUAGGUCAGGACGAAGGUUUUACGCGAAUCGGUGAGAGGAGGCGCAUGGCCGUCGUCAGUUAGUACUUGAAGCAUA